rnacentral:tRNA from 1 species
GCGCCCGUAGCUCAGUGGAUAGAGCACCGGUCUUCUAAACCGAUGGUCGUUGGUUCGAUUCCAACCGGGCGCGCCA